ACGAUUGUCGGGGCCUUCGGGUCCCAACUUCAACCCUAUGUUUACUUCAAACGUUUGCUUCGGUGGGACGGCGCCCGCGCCGCCGGCCCUCGGGCUGGAGAGCGCCCACCGAUGGCGGUACCAAACUCUGUUUGCACCUGUGAAGUCUGAGUGAUUGAUAAUUGAAGCA
rnacentral:misc_RNA from 1 species